CUGGUGGAGCAUGUGGUUUAAUUCGAUGCAACGCGAAGAACCUUACCUACUCUUGACAUCCAGCGAAUCCUUUAGAGAUAGAGGAGUGCCUUCGGGAACGCUGAGACAGGUGCUGCAUGGCUGUCGUCAGCUCGUGUUGUGAAAUGUUGGGUUAAGUCCCGCAACGAGCGCAACCCUUAUCCUUUGUUGCCAGCACGUAAUGGUGGGAACUCAAAGGAGACUGCCGGUGAUAAACCGGAGGAAGGUGGGGAUGACGUCAAGUCAUCAUGGCCCUUACGAGUAGGGCUACACACGUGGCUACAAUGGAA
rnacentral:rRNA from 1 species